UCUGGCAUCGAUGAAGAACGCAGCGAAAUGCGAUAAGUAAUGUGAAUUGCAGAAUUCAGUGAAUCAUCGAAUCUUUGAACGCACAUUGCGCCCCUUGGUAUUCCGAGGGGCAUGCCUGUUCGAGCGUCAUUUCAACCCCUCAAGCUCUGCUUGGUGUUGGGCAUUCGCCGCUUUCCCGCGGCGGGCCUUAAAAUCAGUGGCGGUGGCCGUCUCAGGCUCUAAGCGUAGUAGCAACCUCUCGCUCUGGAGACCCGGCGGUGACUUGCCAGACAACCUUUUUACUUUUUUCAAAGGUUUGACCUCGGAUCAGGUAGGGAUACCCGCUGAACUUAAGCAUAUCAAUAAGCGGAGGAAAAGAAACCAACAGGGAUUGCCUCAGUAACGGCGAGUGAAGCGGCAACAGCUCAAAUUUGAAAUCUGGCUCCUUCGGAGUCCGAGUUGUAAUUUGUAGAAGAUGCUUCGAGUGUGGCCCCGGUCUAAGUUCCUUGGAACAGGACGUCACAGAGGGUGAGAAUCCCGUACGUGAUCGGGCGCCUACGCUCAUGUGAAGCUCUUUCGACGAGUCGAGUUGUUUGGGAAUGCAGCUCUAAAUGGGUGGUAAAUUUCAUCUAAAGCUAAAUAUUGGCCAGAGACCGAUAGCGCACAAGUAGAGUGAUCGAAAGAUGAAAAGCACUUUGGAAAGAGAGUUAAACAGUACGUGAAAUUGUUGAAAGGGAAGCGCUUGCAACCAGACUUGCGCGUCGUUGAUCAUCUGGUGUUCUCACCGGUGCGCUCAGCGAUGCUCAGGCCAGCAUCAGUUCUGGCGGCUGGAUAAAGGCCCUGGGAAUGUGGCUCCCUCCGGGGAGUGUUAUAGCCCAGGGUGCAAUGCAGCCUGCCGGGACUGAGGACCGCG
rnacentral:rRNA from 1 species